CGAACCCGUGUCCCCUGCAUCAGCAGGCAGACUCCCAACCGCUGCGCCACCAGGGAAGCCCUUUCAGACCCUUUUGUGAAAGCUGGACUCAACUUAUUAAAAAAAAAUAAAAAGCCCACACCCUUGAGGGAGAGCAUUCCUGGGGCUUUGGAAUUCAACACCUUUGUCCUGACUUCACCCCUACCAGUUGUGCAACCAGAGCCUUGGCCUCUGAUGACAAGAGUGCUGGCUGUCAGACAGGGUCAGAGGUCAGCCAUUACCCC